rnacentral:tRNA from 1 species
GCAUUGGUGGCCCAGUGGUAGAGCUCCCGUCUGCCACGCCGGUGGCCUGGGUUGGUAUCCCGGCCAACCCA